UCAAAAGCUGCAGUAAGGUUGAGCAAAACAAACCCAGCGCACCUACAACUCCGGCACUGGUGCAACAUGGACCCUGGAUGCGGCAGCGGCAGAAGAGACAAGCCAGAUUUCGGUUGAGGACGUAUCCCCCGCCACCACUACGGGCCUUCGAGAUCUCAACCGAGAACUGCUUCGCCCCUCUCCGCGAGACGGAACGCGACACUGUGAUUCUCGGAGAUUCCAUCGUCCGGUACCCGCGUUUCUGAACGAGAACUUCGGAGCGGUUGUUCUUCAUGCUGGAGCGAACGACACCAGGCUGAGGCAAACAGAGAUCUUAAAGAGGGAUUUCAGGAUCCUGGUGGAGACGGUACGCAGCACAUCGCCCACAACGAGGA